GUGAGGAAUAUUGCGCAAUGGAGGCAACUCUGACGCAGCCAUGCCGAGUGCAGGAAGAAGGCGCUACGCGUUGUAAACUGCUUUUAACCGGGAAGAAACCCCAGGACGUGUCCUGGGUUGACGGUACCGGAGGAAUAAGCACCGGCUAACUUCGUGCCAGCAGCCGCGGUAAUACGAAGGGUGCAAGCGUUAUCCGGAUUCAUUGGGUUUAAAGGGUGCGUAGGCGGAGCGUUAAGUCAGUGGUGAAAUCCUGCAGCUUAACUGUAGACUUGCCAUUGAUACUGGCGCUCUUGAGUGCGCUUGAAGUGGGCGGAAUGUGCCGUGUAGCGGUGAAAUGCUUAGAUAUGGCACAGAACACCAAUUGCGAAGGCAGCUCACUAAGGCGAUACUGACGCUGAGGCACGAAAGCGUGGGGAUCGAACAGGAUUAGAUACCCGAGUAGUCC
rnacentral:rRNA from 1 species